CAGCGCCACAAGUGGCAAUCGCGAUUAUUGGGCCUAAAGCGUCCGUAGCCGGUUUGGCAAAUCUUUUGUGAAAUUGUUAAGCUCAACUUAGCGAAUGGCAGAAGACACUACCAAACUCGGAACCGGGAGGGGUCUGAAGUAUUCCAAGGGGACCGGUAAAAUGGGAUAAUCCUUGGAGGACUACCGAUGGCGAAGGCAUCAGACCAGAACGGAUUCGACGGUGAGGGACGAAAGCCAGGGGAGCAAACCGGAUUAGAUACCCGAGUAGUCC
rnacentral:rRNA from 1 species